GACGAACCGAGCGACCGUUGUUCGGAAUCACUGGGCUUAAAGGGCGCGUAGGCGGGCCUGCCAGUCUGUGGUGAAAUCCUCCGGCUCAACCGGAGAACUGCCUCGGAUACUGCGGGUCUCGAGGGUGAUAGGGGUAUGCGGAACUAUCGGUGGAGCGGUGAAAUGCGUUGAUAUCGAUAGGAACUCCGGUGGCGAAGGCGGCAUACUGGAUCACUUCUGACGCUGAGGCGCGAAAGCCAGGGGAGCAAACGGG
rnacentral:rRNA from 1 species